GAAUCUCAGCAUUAUAUUGAAUGGCUUGGGAUACGUCUAUAGGUUCUUUGAAUAUAUCAUCGCUGAAAGUAAACAAGCUUUUUGGGCAAAAUUAAAGAUAGUGUAUUUAACCCUGUUACUCUCACUCACAGAGCCUUAGUAAGUACUGCAGACAAAAUUGUUUCUUUUCAGCCACGUUUAGGCAAUAUUUACUCGUUAAUGAGUUUUGCAUAUGCUUAAUGCAAAUUCUAUGUCGUAGAAUUGUCCCAUUUUUACGACAGAAAUUUGAAAGUAAUACGUUUGGUUGUUUUAUACCACAAAGGAUAGUGUGCACAGAUGCAAGCAAGUUUGUUGGGACAGGAUUUACAGUGUAGUGCGCAAAAGUUUGUGUACAUCUUUUGUGGACCUCUGGAAAGACUUUACAUAGCUCUAUUUGAAGAGUAAUGAAAGCUAUGGAACUAAUUAUCUUGUUUCUGCGUUGUAAGACAUUGAUAUGAAUAUAUAUUUUCCAUGUAUAUUCAAAAACAAGAUAUCUUUAGAGGUAAUGGAUACCAUGAUUGGAAAUUGAGCUCGCUGGCUAUAACAGCAAAGUCUUUGAUUACGAUGAUUGGUCUAUUUCAGAUAAUUUUUUCAAUCUUUAAACAAUCUUAUAACGUAGAUUUACUAUCUGAUUUUAAUAAUCAUAAAGUCCAUUUUUUAGCAUUUUGGACUCAUGUUACCCCUGGAUUUGAUGCUUUAUCUUACAAAAUAAAGGAUUUCAACGUAUACAUUGUACCCCCGGUAUGUUGGGUAUCUAUAAGCUGUAAUAAACCAUAUGUUUCAAGCAGAUCUAGAGCUAUGACACCAUUGUUGGAUGGGACAAUUUAAAUCGUUUGUGUAGAUAAUUAUGAAUAUGUUAAACCUAGAUUUUCAUUUGUGAAGUAAGAAUAUGUUUGUAUGUAAUUAAUUGACUAUGAUACAAUAAAUUUAACGUUUGAAUGUACAAUGUUUCAUU
rnacentral:sRNA from 1 species